rnacentral:rRNA from 1 species
AUUGAACGCUGGCGGCAGGCCUAACACAUGCAAGUCGAGCGGCAGCGACUUAACUGAACCUUCGGGGAACGUUAAGGGCUGACGAGCGGCGGACGGGUGAGUAAUGCCUGGGAAUAUGCCCUGAUGUGGGGGAUAACUAUUGGAAACGAUAGCUAAUACCGCAUAAUCUCCGAUCUUUUACGAGAUGGGAGCAAAGAGGGGGACCUUCGGGCCUCUCGCGUCAGGAUUAGCCCAGGUGGGAUUAGCUUGUUGGUGAGGUAAUGGCUCACCAAGGCAACGAUCCCUAGCUGGUCUGAGAGGAUGAUCAGCCACACUGGAACUGAGACACGGUCCAGACUCCUACGGGAGGCAGCAGUGGGGAAUAUUGCACAAUGGGGGAAACCCUGAUGCAGCCAUGCCGCGUGUGUGAAGAAGGCCUUCGGGUUGUAAAGCACUUUCAGUAGGGAGGAAGAUAGUGUAGUUAACACCUGCAUUAUUUGACGUUACCUACAGAAGAAGCACCGGCUAACUCCGUGCCAGCAGCCGCGGUAAUACGGAGGGUGCGAGCGUUAAUCGGAAUUACUGGGCGUAAAGCGCAUGCAGGCGGCCUGUUAAGUCAGAUGUGAAAGCCCGGGGCUUAACCUCGGAAUUGCAUUUGAAACUGGUAGGCUAGAGUCUUGUAGAGGGGGGUAGAAUUUCAGGUGUAGCGGUGAAAUGCGUAGAGAUCUGAAGGAAUACCAGUGGCGAAAGCGGCCCCCUGGACAAAGACUGACGCUCAGAUGCGAAAGCGUGGGGAGCAAACAGG